AGCGUAUGUAAUGUGCAACCUUGAACAUGCCCAAUCUUGUCUGAUCUCGAAAGCUAAGCAGUUGCCCGCUGGUCAGUACUUGGAAAUGAGACUGUGUGGGACAAACAAAUACUCUAAGGUU
ensembl:rRNA 5S_rRNA 5S ribosomal RNA